GAAAAUGCAAGCAAUAAUGCUUUUCUUUGAUAAGUAAUAUUCCUCACCCAUUACAAGCCUAAAACUUAGCUUGGGAAUGAUGAAAAUGAAAAGUUUUCCCCCAAACACCUUGUGGGCUAAAUCUGGCAUCGCCAUUUCCACUUAAAUUUUUGUUUGAUUGAACUCUGGAUAUGUUGUAUGAUAUCAAACUCGAGAGUUAGCCCUUCUCCCUAUCUAUGAGCAGGUGAAAUCCCA
rnacentral:lncRNA from 1 species